AAUCAAUGUUAAUGGAAAUUCAUAGGAAAGACCCAUGAUUAAGUAGAUUGAAAAGCUUGGAAUUGACUUUUGAGUUGAUCCGCUAGUCCCCAUUGUUGUUGCCCAUGUUGUUGGCAAGUUUUGAUUUUGUAGUAAUUUCCAGUUUGUACAUGUUUAUAUGAUUUAAAGAAAUGUGGAAGGUUCGAUUAGGACACUGAAAAGGUUGGAAAAUGACUUUUGAGUUGAUUCGCUUGUGUCUUUCGCUUGUGUCUGUUGCUGUUGCCUGUGAUGUUUUGCAAUUCAUUGUUGGAUUUUGUUUUAUUUUCCUGUGCCCACAUUGAAUGAUUUGCUUAUGUUUUGUUACAGGUGAUGUGAACAAUGUAGUUGGAACAUCUACGGAAAGCCUAGCAUGAUUAAACAGAAAUUCAUGGGAAAGAUUUUAUUGGCUUUAACUGGUUUUCCCAGGAUUAACAUUAGAUUGAAAAGCUUGGAACUGACAUUUGAAUUGAUCCACUAGUACCUGUUGCUAUUGCCCAUGAUGUUU
rnacentral:lncRNA from 1 species